UACGGAGGAUUCAAGCGUUAUCCGGAUUUAUUGGGUUUAAAGGGUGCGUAGGCGGUCUGAUAAGUUAGAGGUGAAAUCCCGGGGCUUAACUCCGGAAUUGCCUCUGAUACUGUUGGGCUAGAGAGUAGUUGCGGUAGGCGGAAUGUAUGGUGUAGCGGUGAAAUGCUUAGAGAUCAUACAGAACACCGAUUGCGAAGGCAGCUUACCAAACUAUAUCUGACGUUGAGGCACGAAAGCGUGGGGAGCAAACAUG
rnacentral:rRNA from 1 species